rnacentral:rRNA from 1 species
CUCACCCCAGUCAUGAAUCACAAAGUGGUAAGCGCCCUCCCGAAGGUUAAGCUACCUACUUCUUUUGCAACCCACUCCCAUGGUGUGACGGGCGGUGUGUACAAGGCCCGGGAACGUAUUCACCGUAGCAUUCUGAUCUACGAUUACUAGCGAUUCCGACUUCAUGGAGUCGAGUUGCAGACUCCAAUCCGGACUACGACAUACUUUAUGAGGUCCGCUUGCUCUCGCGAGGUCGCUUCUCUUUGUAUAUGCCAUUGUAGCACGUGUGUAGCCCUGGUCGUAAGGGCCAUGAUGACUUGACGUCAUCCCCACCUUCCUCCAGUUUAUCACUGGCAGUCUCCUUUGAGUUCCCGGCCUAACCGCUGGCAACAAAGGAUAAGGGUUGCGCUCGUUGCGGGACUUAACCCAACAUUUCACAACACGAGCUGACGACAGCCAUGCAGCACCUGUCUCACAGUUCCCGAAGGCACCAAUCCAUCUCUGGAAAGUUCUGUGGAUGUCAAGACCAGGUAAGGUUCUUCGCGUUGCAUCGAAUUAAACCACAUGCUCCACCGCUUGUGCGGGCCCCCGUCAAUUCAUUUGAGUUUUAACCUUGCGGCCGUACUCCCCAGGCGGUCGAUUUAACGCGUUAGCUCCGGAAGCCACGCCUCAAGGGCACAACCUCCAAAUCGACAUCGUUUACGGCGUGGACUACCAGGGUAUCUAAUCCUGUUUGCUCCCCACGCUUUCGCACCUGAGCGUCAGUCUUUGUCCAGGGGGCCGCCUUCGCCACCGGUAUUCCUCCAGAUCUCUACGCAUUUCACCGCUACACCUGGAAUUCUACCCCCCUCUACAAGACUCUAGCCUGCCAGUUUCGAAUGCAGUUCCCAGGUUGAGCCCGGGGAUUUCACAUCCGACUUGACAGACCGCCUGCGUGCGCUUUACGCCCAGUAAUUCCGAUUAACGCUUGCACCCUCCGUAUUACCGCGGCUGCUGGCACGGAGUUAGCCGGUGCUUCUUCUGCGGGUAACGUCAAUCGACAAGGUUAUUAACCUUAACGCCUUCCUCCCCGCUGAAAGUGCUUUACAACCCGAAGGCCUUCUUCACACACGCGGCAUGGCUGCAUCAGGCUUGCGCCCAUUGUGCAAUAUUCCCCACUGCUGCCUCCCGUAGGAGUCUGGACCGUGUCUCAGUUCCAGUGUGGCUGGUCAUCCUCUCAGACCAGCUAGGGAUCGUCGCCUAGGUGAGCCGUUACCCCACCUACUAGCUAAUCCCAUCUGGGCACAUCUGAUGGCAUGAGGCCCGAAGGUCCCCCACUUUGGUCUUGCGACGUUAUGCGGUAUUAGCUACCGUUUCCAGUAGUUAUCCCCCUCCAUCAGCAGUUUCCCAGACAUUACUCACCCGUCCGCCGCUCGUCACCCGAGAGCAAGCUC